rnacentral:lncRNA from 1 species
UAGAGACCUGAUUUUAGUUUCACCAUCUGUAAAAAAAAAAGUUAAGAAACGGUUAAGAAAAGUUAAAUCACCUAUGUGAGCCCCUAACCAGAGAGAGGAAAGGUAACUAACUCAUAGCCACAUGCAAACAGAGCCUGACCUUAGGCUGCAUUUUGGACACGCAAAGAAAAAUAAAUAAUACUCUGUCCCUGUCAUCAAAGAGCCCACAGUAAGGGAAGGCAAGCAAAGGGAGAAAAAAAGAACUGUGAUUCAAGGUAAAAUGUGCUCAGGGAUAAAUAAAUGGAGAGACAGUUUUAAAGGAAUACAAAAGAGGGGUUUUGUAAAAAUUCAGUAGAAUGAUUCCUACUUUAAAUUUACUAUUAUCCGCUUGUGUCUUCAGGCAUCCAUGCCUCAGUUUCCUUGUUUGUAAAAGAAGCUGCCUCAGGAGGUCAUUUGGUCUGUUAUGCGGCCUACAGUGUGAAAAAGCCCUGCUGUAGUGUCCCCAACAGAGAGACAUCCAGUGGUCACUGUCGUUCACUCCAGCACCGAGAGAAGGCACCAGGCCAGAACUGAAGAUGGAAACGGACCUCUCAAUUCUUGCCCCGGAAGAUAGAGAAGCUGGGAGGUUGCCGCCUCUGGUACCGGCCACCAGAGGGGGCCAGGGGACCUCGGCGUCCUCGUUACCCAUGACAACCGUGGUGCUCAGGCGGGGAAGGCGCAGAGCAGAAUCGGCCGCCCGAAGUCCCUGAGCUCCUGGAGCCCGGAGCCGGGGUCUGGCGAGAAGGCGGUGCGGAAGGCCGCGGUCUGCACCGGCCGCUCCCUGGAGUUAUGCACCUUCCCUGCCACCCUGGGCUCCUCGGUCGCGGCCGCCGCGCUGGAGCAGCUCUUAGUCGUGGGAGUUUUUUUACAGCUCACAAGGAAAAACUGGAUGAUUCAUCAAAAUAUGAAAAAAAUGAACACCUGUAUAAAAUAAAACAGCUGGCUGAAAAACUGCACAAAGUUAAUUUAGAGAACAAAGAGCUACAAGAGAAAAUGAAUGCUAAUUUACAACAGUAUAGGAUUGUGUUAACUGAAGAAGAUCAAGUUUUUUUGCAGAAACGGAAACUCUAUGACGCGUAUGUUUCUACCCAUGAUUCCUUGGUGAAUCAACGUGCCAUAGUUAUGAGGUGCUGA